CGGUACCUCCUGCCUCCUCAGUCCUCCUCCCACCAGCACCUCGUUAAUUUUGGCCACCCUUCCCUGCUUCAGCCUUGAAGAACUGAUCAAGCCUGUGGGUAACAAUUAAAAGGCACAUUCUUAAGGAUCUCACCUGUACUUUGCGAACAAAGGACGGAGCCACUCUUUUCUCGAAGUCAUCUAUAGGAGCACAUGUCCUUGCGCAGGAAGAGGCUGUUCAGGGUGACCGCCCCGAUCAAGAAGAAGAGCUGCUUCACGGCCUG